ACUCAAAUGAAUUGACGGGGGCCCGCACAAGCGGUGGAGUAUGUGGCUCAAUUCGAUGCAACGCGAAGAACCUUACCUGGCCUUGACAUGCACUAGACAGACGCUGAAAGGCGUUCUCCCUUCGGGGCUGGUGCACAGGUGCUGCAUGGCUGUCGUCAGCUCGUGUCGUGAGAUGUUGCGUUAAGUCGCGCAACGAGCGCAACCCCUGUCCUUAGUUGCCAUCAUUAAGUUGGGCACUCUAGGGAGACAAACCCUCUUUGAGGGUGGGAAGGUGGGGAUGACGUCAAGUCAGGAUGGCCCUUACGGCCAGGGCUGCACACGUACUACAAUGCCCGGUACAGAGGGAAGCAAUACCGCGAGGUGGAGCAAAUCCUCAAAACCGGGCCCAGUUCAGAUUGUAGUCUGCAACUCGACUACAUGAAGUUGGAAUCGCUAGUAAUGGCGCAUCAGCUACGGCGCCGUGAAUACGUUCCCGGGCCUUGUACACACCGCCCGU
rnacentral:rRNA from 1 species